CCCGCGCUCCUCCGGGCAGAGCGCGUGUGGCGGCCGAGCACAUGGGCCCGCGGGCCGGGCGGGCUCGGGGCGGCCGGGACGAGGAGGGGCGACGACGAGCUGCGAGCAAAGAUGUGCCCCGGGACCCCCGGCACCUUCCAGUGGAUUUCCUUGCGGAAAGGAUGUUGGCGGUCCCUGUGACCUGUGGAGACACGGCCAGAUCUGCCCUCCAGCCUGAUCUUUUGGCCAGAAGGAGAUUAAAAAGAUGCCCCUCAAGAUGGCUGUGCCUGUCAGCUGCAUGGAGCUUCGUUCAAGUAUUUUCUGAGCCUGAUGGAUUUACAGUGAUCUUCAGUGGUCUGGGGAAUAACGCUGGUGGAACCAUGCACUGGAAUGACACACGCCCGGCACAUUUCAGGAUACUAAAAGUGGUUUUAAGGGAGGCUGUGGCUGAAUGCCUCAUGGAUUCUUACAGCUUGGAUGUCCAUGGGGGACGAAGGACUGCAGCUGGCUGAGAGGGUUGAGAUCUCUGUUUACUUAGAUCUCUGCCAACUUCCUUUGGGUCUCCCUAUGGAAUGUAAGACCCCGACUCUUCCUGGUGAAGCAUCUGAUGCACGUUCCAUCCGGCGCUCAGCUGGGCUUGAGCUGACCAUACUCCCUGGAGCCUUCUCCCGAGGUGCGCGGGUGACCUUGGCACAUACAGCCAUCAUGAUGGUACUUUAAGUGGAGGCUGAAUCAUCUCCCCUUUGAGCUGCUUGGCACGUGGCUCCCUUGGUGUUCCCCUUUUACUGCCAGGACACUGAGAUUUGGAGAGAGUCUCACUCUGUGGUCCAGGCUGAAGUACAGUGGCAUGAUCCCAGGUCACUGCAACCCCCACCUCCCGGGUUCAAGUGAUCCUCCUGCCUCAGCCUCCCGAGUAGCUGGUAUUACAGGCGUGUGCCACAAAGCCUGGCUAAGUUUUGUAUUUUUAGUAGAGACGGGGUUUCACCAUGUUGGCCAGGUUGGUCUCGAACUCCUGACCUCAAGUGAUCCACUCACUUUGGCCUUUCAACGUGCUGGGAUUACAGGCGAGAGUCACCGCACCCGGACGACUCUGACAUUUUUGAAGAGUCCAGAAUCCUGUUACACCUGGGAUUUAGGCACUUUCAAUCUGAAAAAAUACAUAUCCUUUCAGCACUCUGGACGGACUUGAGAACUGUCCUUACGUGACCUAAAGCUGGAGUAUUUUGAGAUUGGAGAAUUAAGGCCAACAGAGAUUUUGAGAAACACAUUGAAGGAUCUGUUAACACUUGAUAUACCCAAUAAAAGCAGUGGUUGUGCCAGUGCUGAUCUGUCUUGAUGUGAAUGUGAACAAUGGGAACCUGAGCUGAGCAGUUAAUGCUAGGGUGACAGAAACUGGACCUCUCCCAAGACAUGUGACAGAGUAAUACAGCAGCCAACUUCUUCGCCAAAUUAAAGUUUUACAAGAUUUAACCUGUCAUCAAGACCUGGGAUUUUGGUGAGCCAGUCUUGGUGCUCUGUGUUCACCUGGUUCAUCUGAGGAGCUGCAUCUACCCUGCCCAUGCCAUAGAUCCUGCCCUGUUUGCUUCUCCUGUUGCUGCUAGUGGACAUGAGGUCACCCGAUAUAGAAUCACACACCUGGGAGAUGGCACCAGCCAGUGAGGCUCAAAUUUGAACCACACACAAAUCUCCAGGGGUACUUGAAGGACAGAAUAACGGGCUCCCAGAUUCACAAGCCCCACCAAGAGGAUCACCCCAGGAACGCUUGGAGGCUGAGGAGUUCACUGAGGCUACUGCAUCUUGAGACUCAGGAUGAAGACCCAGCUUGGGGCUGUCAAAGGUUUUUUGCAUGUCUGACACCCAUGACUCCACCUGGACCUUAUGGCUCCACCCAGAAGCAAUUCAGCCCAACAGGAGGACAGCUUCAACCCAUUACGAUUUCAUCUCUGCCCCAACCACUCAGCAGCAAGCACCUGUUACCUGUCCACCCCCACCCCUUCCCCCAAACUGCCUUUGAAAAAUCCCUAACCUAUGAGCUUUGAAUAAGAUGAGUACGAACUUCAUCGCCCACGUGGCGUGGCCGGCCUCGUGUCUAUUAAAUUCUUUUUCUACUACAA
rnacentral:lncRNA from 1 species